rnacentral:rRNA from 1 species
CGCUGGCGGCGUGCUUAACACAUGCAAGUCGAACGGAAAGGCCCUGCUUUUGUGGGGUGCUCGAGUGGCGAACGGGUGAGUAACACGUGAGUAACCUGCCCUUGACUUUGGGAUAACUUCAGGAAACUGGGGCUAAUACCGGAUAGGAGCUCCUGCUGCAUGGUGGGGGUUGGAAAGUUUCGGCGGUUGGGGAUGGACUCGCGGCUUAUCAGCUUGUUGGUGGGGUAGUGGCUUACCAAGGCUUUGACGGGUAGCCGGCCUGAGAGGGUGACCGGCCACAUUGGGACUGAGAUACGGCCCAGACUCCUACGGGAGGCAGCAGUGGGGAAUAUUGCACAAUGGGCGGAAGCCUGAUGCAGCAACGCCGCGUGCGGGAUGACGGCCUUCGGGUUGUAAACCGCUUUCGCCUGUGACGAAGCGUGAGUGACGGUAAUGGGUAAAGAAGCACCGGCUAACUACGUGCCAGCAGCCGCGGUGAUACGUAGGGUGCGAGCGUUGUCCGGAUUUAUUGGGCGUAAAGGGCUCGUAGGUGGUUGAUCGCGUCGGAAGUGUAAUCUUGGGGCUUAACCCUGAGCGUGCUUUCGAUACGGGUUGACUUGAGGAAGGUAGGGGAGAAUGGAAUUCCUGGUGGAGCGGUGGAAUGCGCAGAUAUCAGGAGGAACACCAGUGGCGAAGGCGGUUCUCUGGGCCUUUCCUGACGCUGAGGAGCGAAAGCGUGGGGAGCGAACAGGCUUAGAUACCCUGGUAGUCCACGCUGUAAACGGUGGGUACUAGGUGUGGGGUCCAUUCCACGGGUUCCGUGCCGUAGCUAACGCUUUAAGUACCCCGCCUGGGGAGUACGGCCGCAAGGCUAAAACUCAAAGGAAUUGACGGGGCCCCGCACAAGCGGCGGAGCAUGCGGAUUAAUUCGAUGCAACGCGUAGAACCUUACCUGGGUUUGACAUGGAUCGGGAGUGCUCAGAGAUGGGUGUGCCUCUUUUGGGGUCGGUUCACAGGUGGUGCAUGGCUGUCGUCAGCUCGUGUCGUGAGAUGUUGGGUUAAGUCCCGCAACGAGCGCAACCCUUGUUCACUGUUGCCAGCACGUUAUGGUGGGGACUCAGUGGAGACCGCCGGGGUCAACUCGGAGGAAGGUGGGGAUGACGUCAAGUCAUCAUGCCCCUUAUGUCCAGGGCUUCACGCAUGCUACAAUGGCUGGUACAGAGAGUGGCGAGCCUGUGAGGGUGAGCGAAUCUCGGAAAGCCGGUCUCAGUUCGGAUUGGGGUCUGCAACUCGACCUCAUGAAGUCGGAGUCGCUAGUAAUCGCAGAUCAGCAACGCUGCGGUGAAUACGUUCCCGGGGCUUGUACACACCGCCCGUCAGGUCAUGAAAGUUGGUAACACCCGAAGCCGGUGGCCUAACCGUUGUGGGGGAGCCGUCGAAGGUGGGACUGGUGAUU